rnacentral:lncRNA from 1 species
AAAAUUACACAUUUACUAUAAUACAAUAAUUUCAUAAAUAAUCAUAUUGUCAAAAUGUAUUACAAGUUGAACAUAGCUAAGGUCAAUAUCAAACUACACAUGAAAUACCAAAUAGGCCUCUAAUAACAAAGAAAUUUGUCACUUGAAAGACUUCAUUUUUCCUUGAACACCUCCAAAUGAAGUCAUUUGAGAGUGAAAUACUGCUCCUAAUGCUUGAACCACACUAAUUGAUAUCUCUAUCUGCAUAGACAUAAGGACAUGGAGCAAAAGAAAAUCUAUUGCACUGCUAUAUGUAGAAAUACACAUUUAAUCUCAAGUAAGAAAAGUGAUACUAAAAGAAAACCUAAUAAUUGUCAUACAAACCUAAAUCCCAAAUUAUGCCUUCACAGUUUUAUUGUUUUACACUCAUACAUGUAUCAAAUGACUAAAAUAUACACAAAUUAUGCCAGUACAAUUUUACUAUUCCUUAUAACCUGCAUAAAAAUCAUAUACUUGCGAGUAUAUAAAUUAAUGAGUCUCUAACAUUUCAUGCAUGAAGAAUUGAUACGGCAAGUAGAAGAUUGGAUAUUCGAUCAGUGGAUAUGGUUAUCAAUUAUGAUAUCCCAAAAAACUCUAAGGUGACUCAUUGUUUUUGACCUAGUGGCUUGUGUAAACCAAGCUGUAAUCACAAGGAAGAAUAUGCAGUAUUACACUUGAGAGAGAGAAGAGAAAUGAGUCGAGAGAGAAGAGAAGAUAGAGAGAGAAGUAAACUUUCAUAUAUUGUGUUUUCUGAAUGAUUACAAUCUUAUUGUUCUAAGACUAUAUAUUCUCUAUAUAAAACUUGUUGUUUAAGUCACAACAUAACUAACUUCUAACAGCCUUGCUAAUCUCUUGACAAGUGUCUUAUUAUAUCACCAUUAAUACUAUCCUUAACAUCCCCCCUCAAGCUCAGGAGGUGAAACCAAGACUGAGAUUGCGACAAUGAGUUUGAAAUAGUGGAGUAGAUAAACCCUUGGUGAAAAUAUCAGCAAACUGCUGACUGGAAGUGACAAACUGAACCUGCAGGUGCUUCUUUGCAACUCGUUCUCGAACAAAAUGAAUAUCAACUUCGAUGUGUUUUGUACGCUGAUGUAAAACCGGAUUUGAUGUUAAAGCAAUAGCAGACAUAUUAUCACAAAAGAGAACUGGUGAACUGGGAAUAUCAAGAUGCAAAACUGUCAAUAAUUGCUUGAUCCAAUCCAAUUCAGCAGCAGUUAUAGCAAGAGCGCGAUACUCUGCCUCAGUGGACGAUCUAGACACUGUUUGUUGCUUCUUAGAAGACCAUGAAAUUGGAUUUGACCCCAAAAAGACCACAAAUCCAGUUGUAGACCGUCUGUCAUUCGAAUCUCCAGCCCAAUCCGCAUUAGAAAAUGCUCGUAUAGUAUCAGAAUUAACCUUCAAACCCCCUCUAACAUAGUGAAUGCCCAAAUUCAGAGUGCCUUUAAGAUAUCUUAGGAUCCGCUUGACUGCACUGAAGUGAGACUCCAUGGGAUGCUGCAUAAAUUGGCAUACCUGAUGCACAGCAAACGCGAUAUCUGGCCUGGUAAAUGUGAGGUACUGUAAAGCACCAACCACACUUCUGUAAAGAGCAGGAUUGUUGUAAGGUUUGCCAUCAUCAAGAACUAACCGAUUAUAAGACAGACAUGGUGUGGAACAAGGCUUGGAAUCUAACAUUUCAGUCUUGGUAAGAAGAUCCGUAACAUACUUAGCUUGAGAAAGAACCAUACCAUCAUUCUGAGAAAUAAUCUGAAUUCCCAGGAAAAAAUGCAAAGGACCCAAGUCUUUUAUGUCAAAUGCCUUUGUCAAAGCAGAAAUCACAUCAGAGAUCAAAUUGGGAGCAUUACCAGUAAUGAUAAUGUCAUCCACAUAGAGAAGUAAUAUCACUACAAAAGAAUCAAUCUUUUUCACAAACAAAGAGGGAUCAGCAUAAGUUGUAGUGAAUCCAAGUGAGGGCAAAAACUCGUGAACUUGUCAUUCCAGGCUCUAGGAGCCUGUUUUAAGCCAUAUAAGGACUUGUGAAGUUUGCAGACAUAAUCAGAGUAAUAAGGAUCAACGAAACCUGGAGGUUGUGACAUAUACACCUCUUCCUGCAAUACCCCAUGCAAAAAUGCAUUCUUAACAUCAAGUUGUCUCAAAUUCCACCCAAAAUGAGCAGCCAUGGCCAAUACAAGUCUCACAGUUGUUGGUUUAACAACUGGACUAAAUGUUUCCCCAUAAUCAAUGCCUUCCUCUUGAUUGAAACCUUUUGCCACUAGUCGAGCCUUAUAUCUCCCUAUAGAACCAUCAGCAUUCUUUUUAAUUUUAAAAACCCAUUUACACCCAACCAAGUUUUUUUGUGCUGGAAGAGGAACUAAACUCCAUGUAGACUGAGUGUGUAAGGCAGAUAACUCUUCUUGCAUUGCAUCAACCCAUACCUGACACUUUAAGGCAGAUUUAUAUGUUGCAGGUUCGACUGUAGACAAAUCCACUGCCCCAUUGUCAUGAGUUGUAGUAAGUAAGGCCAUCUUUUUGGAAAUACCACUCUUGGACCUGGUUUGCAUUGGAUGCAAAUUCAAUGGAGGAAUAGAGAGAACAACUUGAAGUCUCUCAGGUUGAAACUCAAAACUUUCAGAAUUUGGAAUUGGAACCACAUGAUUCACAGAUGGAACCUCAGAAGCCACAGGGAUUUGGGGAGAUGAAUACUGUUCAUUUGCAGACCCAUCAGAUACUGGAGAUAAGGAUGAUGAAGAAUUUAAGGAAUUGGAAUGCUGUGAAACCGGAGAGGCUGGUGAAACUAACACAUUAUCAAGAUUAGGCAUGGAUGGUUGUGGGGGAGAUGGUGGAUGGUGAGGUAGGAUUGGUUGUGAGGUCACAUGUGAUGUAUGAAGACUAGGGGAAUGUGAUGAUACAAGACCUGGAUAGGGAAAUUCAGAUUCAUCAAAUAACACAUGCCUGGAAACAUAAACUUUCUUCUUGAUGACUUCAUAACACAAAUAACCCUUGUACUUUGAUGCAUAUCCCAGAAAAAUACACUUGGAUGUCCUAGGUUGUAACUUUGUGGUGUUAAAGGGUCUUAAAAGUGGGUAACAAGAACAACCAAAAACUUUAAGGUGACUGACAUCAGGAACCAAACCAUAAAGAAUUUCAAAUGGAGACUUCUGAUUAAGUGUUUGUGAUGGCAUUCUAUUAACAAGAUACACAGAAGUCUGACAAGCAAAUGACCAAAAUGGUGCAGGUAGGUGAGAGGUUUGAAGAAGAGUAAUGGUGGUUUCAAUAAUAUGACGAUGUUUCCUUUCGGCCAAACCGUUUUGUUCUGGUGUAUAAGGACAAGACAACUGAUGACGGAUACCUUUAGAAGUGAGAAAAGUUUGGAAAUGUUUCCCUAUAUAUUCACCCCCGCCAUCACUUUGAAAUGUUUUGAUUGAAACUAAAAAUUGAUUAAGUAUAAACUGAUAAAAUGUCAUAAAUGUAGCACAAACAUCAGUUUUAUUGAUAAUUGGAAAAAUCCAACAGAAUCGGGUACAUUGGUCUAUGAAGGUAACAUAGUACUUAAAACCUUCUAGAGACAGACACGGAGCAGGGCUCCAUACAUCGCUGUGAACAAUAUCAAAGGGAUUAACAGACGUAUGUGGAGCAGAAUGAAAGGGUAAUUUGCUAAUCUUGCCCUCUAGACAAUUGGAACACAGCCUAGAUAUAGAAUCAGCAAUACUAGGAAGAUUUGAUUUCUUAAGCAUAAGAGAAGCAACCUUAUUUGAUGGAUGACCUAAUCUAUGAUGCCAUAGACUCGAGGUUACUUGUUUGCCAAUGUAAGCAGCUACUGGAGGAGCUUUUUGUAUAGAAGAAGAGGAUGGUGUGGAAGGAAUGGGAUACAAUCCAUUACUGCAGAGACCUUUGAACAGUAUUCUCCCUGUGGCUUUGUCCUGAAUCCAAAAACACCAAGCAUCAAAGAUCAGCCAACAAUUAUUGUCAAAACAGAUUCUAUGUACAGAGAGUAAAUUCUGAGAUAUUCUAGGUACAUAUAGGACCGAAUUUAACUUCAAAUCAUGAAAAGGAGUCUGCAAUAUGGAAGAUCCUCUGUGGGAUACGUUCAAACCUUCACCACUUGCAGUUUGGAUCAUCUCUGUUGAAGGAAAAUGAGUUGCCAAUGACAGAUUAUUCAAAUCUGCAGUCAUAUGAUUUGUUGCACCCGAAUCUGUAAGCCAUACUUGCUGAGAAAGAUUGGAUUCCAGUGGUGGAGCAGAAGCAUUGACAUGCAUAGCAUUCAUAGAUCCAGCAGUAGAAGGUAAAUUUGCAUUCCUAAAGUGACAGAACUUUGCACUGUGAUUCCUUUUUCCACAUAUUUGAUACCCAUCAGCCACUGUAGAAUCAAUAUUCCGAAAUCGACAAGUAUCAGCAAGAUGACCAUAUUUGCCACAGAUUUGACAGGAAGUGCCAGAAGAAGACAGCUGCUGUUGUGGGGAAUUUCCAAGAAUCCCACGACCUUGAGUCGGGUAGAAUGGCUUAUUAGUCCCAAAUUUAGAACCAUACUGAAACUUUCCUUUGCCUUUGUUCUUGUUGUAAGAAGAACGAUAUUAAGAGGCAGCAGUUUGAUUGUUGUAAAUAUGCUGUUGAUCAAAUGUUCCCUUAAGAUUUGACUGAGACCCAUCAUGAUCCGCAACCAUUGCAGUAAGAAAAGGAGUUGCAGAGACAUUAUCAAUCAUUGCUUCUUCAGCAAGUAAUUGAAAUCUCAGAUCUUUCAUUGAAAUAACAUGAUCCCUGCCUCUAAUGAUUGAUCUAAUCGUGUUAUAUUCAGACGAUAAGCCAUUAAGAGUAAGAAUAACUAUAUCAUCAUCAUCAAAUUUAACCCCAGCUGCAGAAAGAUAAUCCCGAGCCUCCUUAAUUCGUUGUAAAUACAGAGAAAUAGAAUCAUUACCCUUUUUGAUAUGCUGCAACGCUGACUUCAUUUGGAAGAUACUGGUUCUUGUAACAAUUGAAAAUUGUUCCUUAAGUCUUGUCCAAAGAUCCUGAGCACUAGUGCUUCCUAUCGCACAAGAAACAGCAGACGGUGAAAGAGUUGCAGUAAUCAACUGCAUUAAGGCACAAUCAUGCAUCUUCCAAAUCUUGUAGUCAUCAGAUUCUGUUUGAGAAGUAGUUCCUUGAGAAUCAACCUCAGACCCACUAGAGGUAGACCUUGUAAAUCGAAUAGGACAGGGAGUAGAACCAUCCACAAAACCCAAAAUACCAUGCCCUUCAAGAAGAAGCUGCAUCUGAAAAUGCCAAACCAAAUAGUUUGUCUCAUCAAGCUUUACUAUCACAGAUGAUGAAACAGUGGAGAUGAGAGAAGUAAUCGGAGACUGGAGAAUCUGUAAUUGAGAAUGAGUAAUCAUUGGUGCAAGAAUUCAGAAAACUUGUUCGAGAACAAUGAUUGAGAACUUGUAUCGAACUCUUGGUGUGCACAGAAGACUAAUAUGUAGAAGAAGAUGAGCUCCAGAAAUUUAUACAGAGCACACAAAGAUCAGAAACAUCAAAGAAAUCAGAAAUGAUGAGCGGAAGCAGUCCAAGAUUGAAGAUUUUCACCUAGCGAUUAGCUAAUCCGGCGAAGAUACCAUGUAAACCAAGCUGUAAUCACAAGGAAGAAUAUGCAGUAUUACACUUGAGAGAGAACAGAAAUGAGUCGAGAGAGAAGAGAAGAUAGAGAGAGAAGUAAACUUUCAUAUAUUGUAUUUUCUGAAUGAUUACAAUCUUACUGUUCUAAGACUAUAUAUUCUCUAUAUAAAACUUGUUGUUUAAGUCACAACAUAACUAACUUCUAACAGCCUUGCUAAUCUCUUGACAAGUGUCUUAUUAUAUCACCAUUAAUACUAUCCUUAACAGCUUGCUGUUAUCAAUUUACAUCAAAGUUAGCCAUUUAUCUAGUUUUUGGGUCUUAAUAUAUUACAAAUUCAACAUCAGCAGAAACACCAACAAAUUUCAAUUUUUUUUCAUUUCUUUUUGUUCCAUUUUCUUCAACCCAAUCAACUUUCUUGGGAACUAAAACAAAAAGAGAGAAAGAGAGAGUUCCCAACCUGUCUCAACUUCGUCCUUGGAAAGUAGGCCCUAGGAACGGAUAAAGUGCCCAACCAAGAUACUCUAACUAGUCAAAGGAGAUGGAUUCGGUUGGUAAGUUAAGAGCUAGUCAAAAUAAAAUGUUAACUUAGAAAUUGAUAAAGACUUUAAUAAUAAAAUUAAGUAUAAACUUUUCACUCAUUACCGCUACAUUUGCAACCUCUUCAUUUAAAAAUUCACCAAAGACUUGAAUGCAACCUGAAAAAUAGUAAAAAGAAAUAGAAUAAAUAAGUGAAUAUAAAUCAUACCAAAGGAACUCAAUCAAAUUAUCAUUUUUAUCCAAUAGUACAAACUAAACAAAGUACUACACUACUACUACAACAGACUCACAGAGUACUAGGCCAUGCCCCAGUGUUAUUCUACUACUACUACUACAACAUACUCACAGAUUAUUUGGAUUUUCAAAACAUAUUAUUUGGAUUGUAGUAUCAAUGUAAGUCUGUAACAUCUCAACCUCCUUUGCAAAAGUAGAACCUUGCUGAGUACCCCAUGUGACCUGGAGCUGCAGGACAUGCAUACAAAGAAACCCAAGUCACUUUGCAAUCCCAACCAAAUCAUACAGAGAGAGCAAAAUUAACAAAUCCCCAACACCAUAAUUAAAACACUUUCAGGGGAAACUGAAUUGGAAUAGUCUAGAUUAAUAUUAGUCUAAAUUUCUUUAAAUACUUGGUGCCUCAGAUUUGAUAAUUCAUUGGGCGCCAUUACUUACCGCUCUAGAUUUGGGAAGGAAUGUAUAUAUUCCAGCAUACCUAUCAAAAACUGUUUCACUCAAUAAAAAAUAUUAGGUAACCCAAAUGUUGUUCAAAUGCACAUAUAAGUUUAUAACUUACAAAAAAAACAUUAUAACAAGAAAAAAAAAAGUGCUGAUACAUUUCCUACAAUACACUUAAAAGUGGGAUAUUAACACUUAUUUAAGUUAUUAAAUCACUUAACCUGUAUAUAUUUGUCACUGCACUUGGAAAUAUAGGUGGUGAUCUAACGAAUAGCAUGAUUGACCUGCAAAGGACAUAAAUGGAUUCACAAAUGUUAUUUGUUGCCCAGGCUAUUUGGAUCUUUGGACCAUUUUUUCCAUAUUAGUGGACCUGACCAUACACGAAGAGACCAUUCCUAAAAAAAUAGUGAAACCCAAAAUACUCAAUUCCUCAUAUGAGCUAAUAAAAGUGUUGUGAUUCUGCAUAUGAUUGAUGCUGCAUCAGUGAUGCUACAUCCAAUGAUGCUGCAUAUAACUAAUGUUGCAUAUGGAGUCUACUACCAAGGUGACCCCUAGGGUAAAUCUCUAGGGUAAGGCUCAUUGUAAUCUUUAGAGUAAGGGUAUGUAAAUCACUUUUCCCUUGAUUUAAGGGAGGAGACUGAUUGGGAUAAUGUCUUAGGUAGGCAACACGCCUUUUUCUUUCUUGUCAGCUACUUGUUGUAGCCAUCCUUCCGAUCUCUUUUCCCUCUCUCUUCUCAUAUAUACCCGGACUCACUCUUGUACAAACAUACAUGAAAUAUACAUUGAAACUUUAAACCAGAAAAUCUACAAAAAGGGUUAGAAGUCAAGCAACCAAGUACCAACCUGUAAUUGAAAAUUAAUAUUAAAAAAAUGAUUUAACCAAACAUUCAGAAAGAUCCAAAUGUAGAAGCCCAAAAACACAAAAAAGACAAAAAAUAUUGAAUUGUAUUACAAACUAUGGAUUAGAUAGUGAUCCCAAAAACCAAAUAUAACCAAUAAGCACAAGUUCCAUCAUUAGUAAAACCAAUCGAUUCAUUGAUUUUCAUAUGAGUGAUACAAGUAUUGGUAUACAUAAGCAACAUGAGGAGAUAAGCCUCCAGGACAUGUAGGAUUACAAUGCAGAGCAACUAAAAGAUAAACAUUACAAUUGAGAGCAUUAAUAUCCUAAUAUCCCAUAACCAGUAACUUAUGUUUUUAAUUUUUAAAGCCACUCAAGUACAGGGCACUCACUGCUCUGGAUUCAAAGAAAACCUCACACAAUAAAAUUGCUUCUCCAUAAAACAUAAAUGAUAGCUCUUGGAAUUGACUGCAGAGUAUAAAGUGGUAGCUUAAACAAUUAUGUAUGGUUCAAUUUCAAAGCAUCUACGAAGCCUAAAAUUACUAAACCUUUUUUUUUUUAUUAACUUGUAUAAGCAACAAGCCAGAAAGAUUUUACCUUUAAACAGCAAGAAAAAUAGAAGCAUCCCAGAAAAAUAAUUUCAUCCUACAAAUUCACAGCAAAAAGAAAAAUACUGAAAAAUAAAAAGCAAAUAGAAAACUGAAUAAAGAAAUCCUCCAUAUGUAAUAAUAAAUCAAGUUAAAGAAUCCUCAAUCACAGAAUAAUAAAGACAGGCACAAAUACAUAUAGAUUUAGAAAAAUAAAACCCAAAUUGGAGUCUGUGGAGUGCGAAUAUGCAAGUGGAAGGGUUGCUAGAGAAAAGUACCUGUAAAUUCAAAACCAAAUUUAUAUAAAAAUAAAAUUAAAAAAUUGAAAUAAAAAAACUUCAACCUUUGAACACUGGGAGAAAAACGGCAGUCUCGUGUGUUUUGGGAGAGGAAGAUUUAGGUGUCGAUUUGAGUUUUGGCGGAAUGGAUCUCCUGGGUUCUGAAUUUUCGAUGGUGGACAACAAGCAACGUGGAGAUGAGGCCAUGGA